rnacentral:rRNA from 1 species
GUAGUGGGGGAUAGCCCGGAGAAAGCCGGAUUAAUACCGCAUACGACCUACGGGUGAAAGCGGGGGAUCGCAAGACCUCGCGCUAUUGGAGCGGCCGAUAUCAGAUUAGCUAGUUGGUGGGGUAAAAGCUCACCAAGGCGACGAUCUGUAGCUGGUCUGAGAGGACGACCAGCCACACUGGGACUGAGACACGGCCCAGACUCCUACGGGAGGCAGCAGUGGGGAAUUUUGGACAACUGGACGCAAGUCUUGAUCCAGCCAUGUCCGCGUGCGGAGAAGAAGGCCUUCUGGGUUUGUAAACCGCUUUUGUCAAGGGGGAAAGAAAAGCUCCGAACUAAUAAAUAGGGGUGAAAACGGUACCUGAAGAAUAAGCCCCGGCUAACUACGUGCCAGCAGCCGCGGUAAUACGUAGGGUGCAAGCGUUAAUCGGAAUUACUGGGGCGUAAAGCGUGCGCAGGGCGGUUCUAUAAGACAGAUGUGAAAUCCCCGGGGCUCAACCUGGGGAACUGCAUUUUGUGACUGUAGAGCUUGGAGUGCGGCUAGAGGGGGGAUGGAAUUUCCGCCGUGUAGCAGUGAAAUGCGUAGAUAUGGGGGAGGAACACCGAAUGGCGAAAGGCAAUCCCCUGGGGCCUGCACUGACGCUCAUGCACGAAAGCGUG